CAGCCGCCGCGGUAAUACAGAGGGUGCAAGCGUUAAUCGGAAUUACUGGGCGUAAAGCGCGCGUAGGUGGUUUGUUAAGUUGGAUGUGAAAGCCCCGGGCUCAACCUGGGAACUGCAUCCAAAACUGGCAAGCUAGAGUACGGUAGAGGGUGGUGGAAUUUCCUGUGUAGCGGUGAAAUGCGUAGAUAUAGGAAGGAACACCAGUGGCGAAGGCGACCACCUGGACUGAUACUGACACUGAGGUGCUAAAGCGUGGGGAGCAAACAGGAUUAGAUACCCCCGUAGUCCCUGUCUCUUAUAC
rnacentral:rRNA from 1 species